GGCGCUAUGGCCGAGUGGUUAAGGCGACAGAUUCGAAAUCUGUUCCGGUUUCCGGGCGUAGGUUCAAAUCCUGCUGGCGUCG